CGGGGUGUAGCGCAGCUUGGUAGCGCGCGUCGUUCGGGACGACGAGGCCGCAGGUUCGAAUCCUGUCACCCCGACCA
rnacentral:tRNA from 1 species